rnacentral:rRNA from 1 species
ACUCAAAGGAAUUGACGGGGGCCCGCACAAGCGGUGGAGCAUGUGGUUUAAUUCGAUGCAACGCGAAAAACCUUACCUGGUCUUGACAUCCAUAGAAUUUUAUAGAAAUAUAAAAGUGCCUUAGGGAGCUAUGAGACAGGUGCUGCAUGGCUGUCGUCAGCUCGUGUUGUGAAAUGUUGGGUUAAGUCCCGCAACGAGCGCAACCCUUAUUCUUUGUUGCCAACGGUUUGGCCGGGAACUCAAAGAAGACUGCCGGUUAUAAACCGGAGGAAGGUGGGGACGACGUCAAGUCAUCAUGGCCCUUACGACCAGGGCUACACACGUGCUACAAUGGUAUAUACAAAGAGAUGCAACUCUGCGAAGAUAAGCAAACCUCACAAAGUAUAUCGUAGUCCGGACUGGAGUCUGCAACUCGACUCCACGAAGUCGGAAUCGCUAGUAAUCGUGGAUCAGAAUGUCACGGUGAAUACGUUCCCGGGCCUUGUACACACCGCCCGU